GAGUAAGGGUGUGACUAGUGACAGAGAGAGGGAGGGUGUGACUAGUGAGAGUGAGGGAGGUGGUGAUUAGUGACAGAGGGAGGAAUGGGGUGACUAUCACUGUGUCACCCCCUUCCUCACUCUGUCACUAGUCACCCACUCCCUCCCUCACUCGGUCACUAGUCACCCCUCUCUCACUCUGUCACCAGUCAUUCCCUCACUCUGUCACCAGUCAUCCCUUCCUUCCCUCACUCUGCCACUAGUCAUCCCUUCCCUCACUC